UGGGGAAUAUUGGACAAUGGGCGAAAGCCUGAUCCAGCCAUGCCGCGUGAGUGAUGAAGGCCUUAGGGUUGUAAUGCUCUUUUUGGCGGGGAAGAUAAUGACGGUACCCGCAGAAUAAGCCCCGGCUAACUUCGUGCCAGCAGCCGCGGUAAUACGAAGGGGGCUAGCGUUGUUCGGAAUUACUGGGCGUAAAGCGCACGUAGGCGGAUUGACAAGUCAGGGGUGAAAUCCCGGGGCUCAACCUCGGAACUGCCUCUGAUACUGUCAGUCUAGAGUCCGGAAGAGGUGGGUGGAAUUCCUAGUGUAGAGGUGAAAUUCGCAGAUAUUAGGAAGAACACCGGUGGCGAAGGCGGCCCACUGGUCCGGUACUGACGCUGAGGUGCGAAAGCGUGGGGAGCAAACAGGAUUAGAUACCCUCGUAGUCCCUGAGCGGGCUGGCAAGGCGCAU
rnacentral:rRNA from 1 species